GAAGAACCUUACCUGGUCUUGACAUCCCGGAGACCCUUAGGAAACGUAGGGGUGCUUCCAUCUGGAAGAAUCUGGAGACAGGUGCUGCAUGGCUGUCGUCAGCUCGUGUCGUGAGAUGUUGGGUUAAGUCCCGCAACGAGCGCAGCCCUUGCCUUUAGUUGCCAGCAGUUCGGCUGGGCACUCUAAAGGGACUGCCGGUGUUAAACCGGAGGAAGGUGGGGAUGACGUCAAGUCCUCAUGGCCUUUAUGACCAGGGCUACACACGUACUACAAUGGCCGAUACAAAGGGCAGCGACACUGCGAGGUGAAGCCAAUCCCGUAAAAUCGGUCUCAGUCCGGAUUGGAGUCUGCAACUCGACUCCAUGAAGUUGGAAUCGCUAGUAAUCGUGGAUCAGCAUGCCACGGUGAAUACGUUCCCGGGCCUU
rnacentral:rRNA from 1 species